rfam:Acetothermia bacterium 64_32 S_OP1_64_33_1, whole genome shotgun sequence.
CCCGAAAAAGGCAAACCCACGGCGACGUGGGGGCGCAAAGCCACGGGUCUCCCUGAGACGGCCGGGCUGCCGAAG